UCCCUAGUAGUUCAGACAGUAAAGAAUCUGCCUGCAAUGCAGGAGAGCCAGGUUUGAUUCCUGGGUUGGGAA
rnacentral:tRNA from 1 species